CGAUGGAACAUCGGAGUCUUUGGACGCAAGUUGCGCCCGAUGCCAUUAGGUUGAGGGCACGUCUGCCUGGGUGUCACAUAUCGAAGCCUCCUGCCAAUUUCCCUUUGAUUAUUGUGCAGGGUGGAUGUUGGCCUCCCGUGAGCUCUUUCGUCUCAUGGUUGGUUGAAAAUUGAGACCUUGGUAGGGUGUGCCAUGAUAGAUGGUGGUUGUGUGAUCCACGAGACCAAUCAUGUGCUGCUUUAUUAAAUUUGGCCUCUUUUACCCAUAUGCGUUUCUAAACGCUCGUGAUGAGACCUCAGGUCAGGCGGGGCUACCCGCUGAAUUUAAGCAUAUCAAUAAGCGGAGGAAAAGAAACUAACUAGGAUUCCCUUAGUAACGGCGAGCGAACCGGGAUAAGCCCACCAUGAGAAUCGGUCGCCCUCGGCGUUCGAAUUGUAGUUGAGAAAACCGUCAAAGUAAG
rnacentral:rRNA from 1 species